rnacentral:rRNA from 1 species
GAUGAACGCUGGCGGCGUGCCUAAUACAUGCAAGUCGAGCGAACAGACGAGGAGCUUGCUCCUCUGACGUUAGCGGCGGACGGGUGAGUAACACGUGGAUAACCUACCUAUAAGACUGGGAUAACUUCGGGAAACCGGAGCUAAUACCGGAUAAUAUAUUGAACCGCAUGGUUCAAUAGUGAAAGACGGUUUUGCUGUCACUUAUAGAUGGAUCCGCGCCGCAUUAGCUAGUUGGUAAGGUAACGGCUUACCAAGGCAACGAUGCGUAGCCGACCUGAGAGGGUGAUAGGCCACACUGGAACGGAGACACGGUCCAGACUCCUACGGGAGGCAGCAGUAGGGAAUCUUACGCAAUGGGCGAAAGCAUGACGGAGCAACGCCGCGUGAGUGAUGAAGGUCUUCGGAUCGUAAAACUCUGUUAUUAGGGAAGAACAAAUGUGUAAGUAACUAUGCACGUCUUGACGGUACCUAAUAAGAAAGCCACGGCUAACUACGUG